AUUGAACGCUGGCGGCAGGCUUAACACAUGCAAGUCGAGCGAGCGGCGGACGGGUGAGUAAUGUCUGGGCAACUGCCUGAUGGAGGGGGAUAACUACUGGAAACGGUAGCUAAUACCGCAUACCAUCAGCUGUGUCCAGAUGGGAUGAGCUAGUAGGGGGGGGAAUGGCUCACCUAGGCGACGAUCCCUAGCGGGGCUGAGAGGAUGACCGGCCACACUGGAACUGAGACACGGUCCAGACUCCUACGGGAGGCAGCAGUUGGGAAUAUUGGACAAUGGGCGCAAGCCUGAUGCAGCAAUGCCGCGUGUGUGAAGAAGGCCUUCGGGUUGUAAAGCUCUUUUGGCGGGGAGGCGGUACCCGAAGAGGAAGCACCGGCUAACUCCGUGCCAGCAGCCGCGGUAAUAC
rnacentral:rRNA from 1 species